AACGAACGCUGGCGGUGCGCCUAACACAUGCAAGUCGAACGGGGUUGCCACGCGAAGCUCGCUUCGGUGAGUGGAGUGUGGUAACUUAGUGGCGAACGGGUGAGUAACACAUAGGUAACCUACCCUUAGGUUUGGGAUACCCCCGAGAAAUCGGGCUCAAUACCGGAUAUAAUCCUGGGGUGAAAAUCCCCGGGAUCAAAGCUCCGAGCAAUCGUGGCGCUUAAGGAUGGGCCUGUGUCCUAUCAGCUAGUUGGUGAGGUAAUUGCUCACCAAGGCAAAGACGGGUAGCCGGACUGAGAGGUCGAUCGGCCACACUGGAACUGAGACACGGUCCAGACUCCUACGGGAGGCAGCAGUGAGGAAUUUUGCGCAAUGGGCGAAAGCCUGACGCAGCGACACCGCGUGGGGGAAGAAGGCUCUCGGGUUGUAAACCCCUUUCGUGAGGGAAAAAGCCCCGAGCAAUCGGGGUGAUGGUACCUCAGGAAGAAGCCACGGCUAACUCUGUG
rnacentral:rRNA from 1 species